AUGCUACCGGGCGACCGGAUGCGGAUCUCGAAAGCCUGUCCCAGUUCGGACUGGAGUCUGCAACCCGACUCCACGAAGUUGGAUUCGCUAGUAAUCGCGCAUCAGCCAUGGCGCGGUGAAUACGUUCCCGGGCCUUGUACACACCGCCCGUCACACCAUGGGAGUUGGGAGCACCCGAAGCCGGUGAGUUGACCGAAAGGGGACAGCCGUCGAAGGUGAGACCGAUGACUGGGGUGAAGUCGUAACAAGGUAUC
rnacentral:rRNA from 1 species